CCUACGGGAGGCAGCAGUGAGGAAUAUUGGUCAAUGGACGAGAGUCUGAACCAGCCAAGUAGCGUGAAGGAUGACUGCCCUAUGGGUUGUAAACUUCUUUUAUAUGGGAAUAAAAUGUUCCACGUGUGGGAUUUUGUAUGUACCAUAUGAAUAAGGAUCGGCUAACUCCGUGCCAGCAGCCGCGGUAAUACGGAGGAUCCGAGCGUUAUCCGGAUUUAUUGGGUUUAAAGGGAGCGUAGGUGGCGUGUUAAGUCAGUUGUGAAAGUUUGCGGCUCAACCGUAAAAUUGCAGUUGAAACUGGCAGGCUUGAGUACAGGAGAGGUGGGCGGAAUUCGUGGUGUAGCGGUGAAAUGCUUAGAUAUCACGAAGAACUCCGAUUGCGAAGGCAGCUCACUGGACUACAACUGACACUGAGGCUCGAAGGUGUGGGUAUCAAACAGGAUUAGAUACCCGUGUAGUC
rnacentral:rRNA from 1 species